rnacentral:rRNA from 1 species
ACAAGCGCGUGGAGCAUGUGGCUUAAUUUGACUCAACACGGGAAAUCUUACCGGGUCCGGACAUACCGAGGAUUGACAGACUGUUAACUGCAACACAAGCUGCUAAGUUUUAAACUUAAUAGCUCUUUCAUGAUUAUAUGAUAGGUGGUGCAUGGCCGUUCUUAGUUCGUGGAGUGAUCUGUCUGCUUAAUUGCGUUUCAAAAUUUAAACCUGAGCGACAAGGUGCUGCUAUCGAAACUGUCUUUGAGUGUGAACUAUAAGUCUUUUGACUUAUGACCAUCACUCUAGACGUUUAUGUUUUGGUGUUGGCCCUUGAUGCUCAUUUGAACGCAACGGACGUGAUUGCAACCCCUUGUUGAGAUUUAUCCGAUCUCUACGUUCACUGAACCACACUCUUUAGCGAGAGCAGUGGGGAUGUGGAUAAACUCGGGGGACUGCUGACUAUAAACUUUUCUCAAACCAGAGGAAGGUUGCGGCAAUAACAGGUCUGUGAUGCCCUCAGAUG